CUGAAUCAUUAAUCACUGUCCUAAACCUCUCAUCCAAGUGACUUUGCCUAUUAGAUUUGUAAAUCCUCUUCACCAAGAGAGAUUGAACUCCUUUAUCACCAUGUGGAGAAAAGCUGCCCACCAGCCAGACUUGGACCUGACUUCUCAGAAGACACCCCCACCUACCUUCACACGAUGCUUUGAGACCCUGGAAACUCAAGUGGCCACUGCUGGAUUCGCUCUGGGCAAGCUCUUGGAUCUGCACAUUCAUCCACGUCUGAAGAGUGGAAGAGAAAACCCAGGUCAAGCUUCCUCUUUCAUCUGUAGAGGCAACAUUUCUCUAUGCAGACGGGUCAUGCACUGGGGAGUAGCCAGUCGCCAUGUUGUAAGGAGAUUCAAGCAGUGCUGUGGAGGAACUGAGCCUCCCAC
rnacentral:lncRNA from 1 species